ACAGGUUAGUGAAGGAGUAAGGAGACAGCUUUGUGCUGGGGGAGAGUGAGUAGAGUGAAAAGGUAGACCAUAUCAUCCUUGAUGCUGUGUGGACUGGUGUUAAAACGCAAGCUGGAGAGCAGACCCCCCAGGGAUGCGGUGACCUUCCUAAUUGGGCCGGGUCAGUCUCAAGGAGUCCCUAUAGACACUGCAGACACUUCUAGGGAUAACCAUGGAAAAUAAAUAGCAUCCUUCACCUCUGAGAAGCACCUUUGUCAGAAGAGGAUUUUCUGUGUCCAUUGAUGUUUCCUGGCAGAGCAACACUUGUAUUCACUAUCCAACUGAUCUUGUGGUGGAACGACCUACCCAUGGAUAUCAGGACCACCUUCUGACACCUCCUCAAGACACACCUGUUCAGACAGCGUCUGUAAACCUCACAACUCUCGACUACACUGGACUAUAUGGUACCCAAUUGUACCAGUACUUGCAUCAGCUUGUACUUGUACUGAACUCCAUACCUUGCUGUAUUCUACUACUGCUCUUAACUAUAACUACUUCCUGUCUCUUGUACUUGAUUUUACUCUUAUCGGUAUCCGUGUUCAUGUUUCUUUUUUGUAAUUGCUCUUAUUUUAAAUCAUUCUCAUCCAUUUAUAGUAUUUACUACAUGCUCUUACUGGACUUUGCUCAUAUAAGCAAAUAUUUUUACUGUAAGUUAACUGCUCUUCGUCGAACCCGCUCUUAAAUGUAAAUAUUCACUGUAUUCUUUAUUUUGUUCUUAUUUGAAUUUGAUCUUAUUCGUAUUCUUAUUAUAACUGCUCUUAUGUGUAAUGUGAUAUUUUGUAAUGUGAUCUUUUGUAAUGUGAUACUUUGUGCUGUGAUACAUUGUACUGUGAUAUUUUGUAAUGUGAUAUUUUGAUGUGAUAUUUUGUAAUGUGAUACUUUGUAACACUUGUAAGUCGCCCAGGAUAAGGCCGUCUGCUAAGAAAUAAAUACUACUAAUAAUAACACAGACAGGCAGGCAUGGUGCAUGAUACACUAAAAAAAGUACUAUCAUGAUAAAAUUGUAAAAUGCACUACAAUAUAUGUUCACAAACCUGGAUUAAAUCAAAAUUGGGGGUCUGCUUUAACAAGUAUAAAGAAUGGCCAUGACA